GACACUUAGCCAGAAAAACAAAAAAGAAAAGAAAAUUCAUCUAAACCUCGAAAAGAACUCCUUCAUCGUCUCUACUGCCUUCAUCGUCUAUAUCUCCUUCUCUCACUGUGUGAAGGCUCUCUCCAUCGUCUAUCCCUAUCUAUUCUCUCAACGGCCUUCAUCAUCUCUCUCACUGUAUUCAAAAUAUAGGAAGUGGAAACUCUCUGGAUUAUCUCCCCUCUUGCUCUAUUUCCUCUGCCUUCAUUGGUUGAUUAAGUACUGCAUAUCUACAUUAUUCUCUGUUGGCGAAAGUCUUCAAAAACUUCACGACAUGAUAGCACCCAACUUUCUAUCAAUGAUAAGUGCAAGUUGCUAAACUGGGAAGGUACAAGUGAAGUAGUGGCUAGAGGACACAUUUCUGAUAUUCAUCCAGAAUCAAAAGUGCAUGGCUACAAACUUGGACCUAAUUGUUAUAGAAUUGCUAUUGAGGAAGUUGUCAUGCCUGAUGUUGUAUUCUAUCGAAGUCAGCCCGAAUUUGUGACUAUGGAAGAUGCACCUGGAAGUACUGUUGCUUGGCCGAUUAAGUACAUUCUCUGUGACAAUUGAAAUAGUAUUGGCAACUAGCUUUUUUUUGGACAAGGCAUAAGCAGCUAUAUAUAGCUAUAAGUAUUUUGUAUUUUGAAUUCAAUAACAAUGUGUGAUAUAUUUGAUGAUGGAUUUAUAUAAUAUUUGUUUCUGAUUAAA